rnacentral:rRNA from 1 species
UACGUAGGGGGCUAGCGUUGUCCGGAAUCAUUGGGCGUAAAGCGCGUGUAGGCGGUCCGGUAAGUCCGCUGUGAAAGUCGGGGGCUCAACCCUCGGAUGCCGGUGGAUACUGUCGGGCUAGAGUCCGGAAGAGGCAAGUGGAAUUCCCGGUGUAGCGGUGAAAUGCGCAGAUAUCGGGAGGAACACCAAUUGCGAAGGCAGCUUGCUGGGACGGUACUGACGCUGAGGCGCGAAAGCGUGGGGAGCAAACAGG